AGUGGAUGGGGAGCAACCUAGUUGUGCGUGUGUAAAGGUAGUGCCAAGAAAAGCGGUGAUCAUGAUGAAAAUCAAUUCCCGGUACCCGAAACCGACACAGGUGGGCAAGUAGAGAAUACUAAGGGGCGCGAGGUAACUUUCUCCAAGGAACUCGGCAAAAUGACCCCGUAACUUAGGGAGAAGGGGUGCCACCGAGAGGUGGUCGCAGUGAAGAGGCCCAGGCGACUGUUUAGCAAAAACAUAGGUCUCUGCAAACUCGAAAGAGGAGGUAUAGGGGCUGACGCCUGCCCAGUGCCGGAAGGUUAAAGAAGUUGGUCAGUCUUAGGAUAAAGCUAGCGACUGAAGCCCCGGUGAACGGCGGCCGUAACUAUAACGGUCCUAAGGUAGCGAAAUUCCUUGUCGGGUAAGUUCCGACCCGCACGAAAGGCGUAACGAUCUGGGCGCUGUCUCGGAGAGAGGCUCGGCGAAAUAGGAUUGUCUGUGAAGAUACGGACUACCUGCAUUUGGACAGAAAGACCCUAUGAAGCUUUACUAUAGCUUGGAAUUGUGUUCGGGCUUCCUGUGCGCAGGAUAGGUGGGAGGCAAGAAGGUAUUCUUGUGGGGAUACUGGAGCCAACGGUGAGAUACCACUCUCAGGAGGCUAGAAUUCUAACUUAAUUAAGGACAGUUUCAGGUGGGUAGUUUGACUGGGGCGGUCGCCUCCAAAAAGGUAACGGAGGCGUACAAAGGUUCCCUCAGACUGGUUGGAAAUCAGUCGCAGAGUGCAAAGGCAGAAGGGAGCUUGACUGCGAGAAGUACAGUUCGAGCAGGGUGGAAACACGGUCUUAGUGAUCCGACGGUGCUGUGUGGAAGGGCCGUCGCUCAACGGAUAAAAGUUACUCUAGGAUAACAGGCUGAUCUCCCCCAAGAGUUCACAUCGACGGGGAGGUUUGGCACCUCGAUGUCGGCUCAUCGCGACCUGGGGCGGAAGUACGUCCCAAGGGUUGGGCUGUUCGCCCAUUAAAGCGGUACGUGAGCUGGGUUCAGAACGUCGUGAGACAGUUCGGUCCAUAUCCGAUGUAGGCGUGAGAAUAUUGAGAGGAGCCUUCCUUAGUACGAGAGGACCGGGAAGGACGCACCGCUGGUGUACCUGUUAUGAUGCCAAUUGUAAACGCAGGGUAGCCAAGUGCGGAGAGGAUAACCGCUGAAAGCAUCUAAGUGGGAAGCCCACCUCAAGAUGAGUAUUCUGGUGUAAGGUCACGGGAAGACGACCCGUAAAUAGGCACGAGGUGGAAGUGCAGAGAUGUAUGAAGCCGAAGUGUACUAAUAGACCGUCGGCUUGACC
rnacentral:rRNA from 1 species